GGAGACGUACCCAAGUGGUUAUAAGGGAGCGGUCUACUAAACCGCCAGCCGAGCAAUCGGGCGUGGGUUCGAAUCCCACCGUCUCCGCCA
rnacentral:tRNA from 1 species